rnacentral:rRNA from 1 species
UCCUACGGGAGGCAGCAGUGAGGAAUAUUGGUCAAUGGUCGGGAGACUGAACCAGCCAAGCCGCGUGAGGGAUGAAGGUACAGAGUAUCGUAAACCUCUUUUGUCAGGGAACAAAGGCGGGGACGUGUCCCCGGAUGAGUGUACCUGAAGAAAAAGCAUCGGAUAACUCCGUGCCAGCAGCCGCGGUAAUACGGAGGAUGCGAGCGUUAUCCGGAUUUAUUGGGUUUAAAGGGUGCGCAGGCGGUCUGUUAAGUCAGCGGUCAAAGCCCGGGGCUCAACCCCGGCCCGCCGUUGAAACUGGCAGG